UCCCUGGAGGACUAGUGAAUAGGCCAUGGUGCUCUCACUGCAACGGACAGGGUUCGAUUCCCAGACAGGGAA